GAUUAACGCUAGCGGUGUGCCUAAGGUAUGCAAGUCGAACGGUUUAUUUUUUGUAGUAAUACAAAAAAUCGACAGUGGCAGACGGCUGAGUAACACGUGGGAACAUUCCCUGAACCCGAGCAUAGCUUGCCGAAAGGCAAGGUAAUUCUCGAUAGUCCCGAAAGGGUAAAGAUUUUUCAGUUCAGGAUUGGCCCGCGUCC
rnacentral:rRNA from 1 species